CCAAGCCGACGCCCACCCCACCCACGUACACCCCGACACCCAAGCCUACGCCACCGCCAUACACGCCCAAGCCGACGCCGCCGGCUCACACCCCUACUCCCCCGACGUACACGCCGACCCCCACUCCACCCAAGCCGACGCCUCCCACCUACAAGCCACAGCCCAAGCCGACGCCUGCGCCUUACACUCCCACUCCCACACCGCCAACAUACAAGCCGCAGCCCAAGCCGACCCCGCCACCGACGUACAAGCCGCAGCCGAAGCCGACUCCCACCCCCUACACUCCCACUCCGACGCCGCCAUCGUACAAGCCGCAGCCGAAGCCGACUCCCACCCCCUACACUCCCACUCCGACGCCGCCAUCGUACAAGCCGCAGCCGAAGCCGACUCCCACCCCGUACACUCCCACUCCGACGCCGCCAUCCUACAAGCCGCAGCCCAAGCCGAACCCGCCACCCACGUACAAGCCGCAGCCCAAGCCAAACCCGCCACCCACGUACAAGCCGGCGCCGCCAACCUACAAGCCGCAGCCUAAGCCGAACCCGCCACCCACGUACAAGCCGCAGCCUAAGCCGACUCCCACUCCCUACACUCCACCCACGUACAAGCCACAACCGAAGCCGACUCCCACUCCCACUCCCUACACUCCCACGCCCAAGCCGAACCCGCCGCCAACCUACAAGCCACAGCCCAAGCCGACUCCCACGCCGACGCCGUACAAGCCGCAGCCCAAGCCGACUCCUUCUCCCUACACCCCCAAGCCAACUCCGACGCCGCCGACCUACACACCGACGCCAACGCCGCCGUACCACAAGCCGCCGCCGUCCUACACCCCCGGCCCGCCGCCGCCCUACUAGUUGUGUUCCGCCACU
rnacentral:lncRNA from 1 species